AGAGCACUAUUUAGAAAUUAUAUUUCAAUAUCUAUGUUUUGCAUCUUCUUACACAGCUGAAUAGCUAAAAGAAGAAGAAAACCAGCUUCAGUUUCAGUUCUUUUUACCUCCUAAAGAUGUUAGGAGAAACAAUCUAAGGCAAAUCAUUUGUAGAUGGCAAAGUUUCGUUUACUGUAAUGGAGCUCCGUAUGAAACAUUUCAAGACCAGAAUCAGCCCUGCAUCCUCUGCUUGACACCUCCUACUGCAAGACCUCUCCACUAAUAAGAGCCAAGAACAGACUGGUUACUUCACAUCUUGAGCCAGUGCUCCAGCUGUGAUCUCGCCUGCUUCACUCAAUAACAUUCAUUUGAACCACAGCCUGGCCUAUACUGGCAGAUGUAGCUCCACCCGUCUGUGUCCCACCAGUGCCAAAUUGGAGGAGUGAAGUGGGCGGCCAUCUUUAUUCCACUUGACGGAUGUCACUGGCGGGUUGGCAUCAGCUGGGCAGCGAAUGAAUCCUGGCAAUCC